AAACCUCUCAGAGACCUGAGGUGGGACCCAGAUCCCGGCGCCCAGAGCAAGUCAAGUCCGGCCGGCCGGAGCUGUGUCACGAAAUGAGCCCUGAAAGCCAUAUGUUGAAGAAGCACAAGAUGGAAGGAGGCUGAGUUUCUGGGUCACUGUCAGACUAGAAAGGUUUAUGUGUACUCUUGGAUAAAUAUUGAGCCAUUGCCAUGUAUAAACCACCAUGCUGGGCCCUCUAGGCAAUGCAAAAAGAAUAUGACAGACUGUCUCACAGUGUCUGCCCUCCAGUAUCUUAAAUUUUUGAGAGUGUGCAAGAUAUAACCUUGUAUCUUGGAUGGUUCAGCAAUGGAGUGGAUAUCUUUGAGAUGAACUUCUCGUAACAGGAAAUGUUCAUUCAGAUGCCAGAAGGACAUCAGCCAAAGACACUUAAAUGGAUGCUUUUUAGUGUAGGAGCCUGAACUAGCCUUUUUAGGAUCCUGGAACCUGUGUGUGAUGAGGACAGAGGACUGGGUAAAUGGAAGGAACUUGGAAU